AAGAUGAUAGGUCAUUAUCCUUUGAGUGAAAAAUAAAAGAGAAAAAUAGAAGAAAAACUUGAUGUUUUCUCCUAGACUACCUGUUGCACCAAAAGGUACGUAGAGAUUGAUUCUCUACAAUAGUCCAAUACCCAUAGACUCGAAUAAUUUCUCGCAAACCUACGGGUCGUACCAAUGAUCGACCGAUCAAAUUGUCUCUUAUCAACUCUUUUUUUCUCUUUUAGCUGGUCAAAAAUUGGUCAUCCAAUAUUAAGUGCACAUUUUGUUGUCCACUUUAUUAACCCAUCCUUAUUCUCAAAUUAAUACUUGUUAAUGGCAGUCAAGAUGAUAGGUCAUUAUCCUUCUGAGUGAAAAAUAAAAAAGAAAAAUAGAAGAAAAACUUGAUGCUUUCUCCUAGACUUCCUGUUGCAUCAAAAGGUAUGUAGAGAUUGAUUCUCUACAAUAGUCCAACACCCAUAGACUCGAAUAAUUUCUCGCAAACCUACGGGUCGUACCAAUGAUCGACCGAUCAAAUUGUCUCUUAUCAACUCUUUUUUUCUCUUUUAGCUGGUCAAAAAUUGGUCAUCCAAUAUUAAGUGCACAUUUUGUUGUCCACUUUAUUAACCCAUCCUUAUUCUCAAAUUAAUACUUGUUAAUGGCAGUCAAGAUGAUAGGUCAUUAUCCUUCUGAGUGAAAAAUAAAAAAGAAAAAUAGAAGAAAAACUUGAUGCUUUCUCCUAGACUUCCUGUUGUACCAAAAGNNNNNNNNNNNNNNNNNNNNGUUAAUGGCAGUCAAGGUGAUAGGUCAUUAUCCUUCUGAGUGAAAAAUAAAAAAGAAAAAUAGAAGAAAAACUUGAUGCUUUCUCCUAGACUUCCUGUUGUACCAAAAG
rnacentral:lncRNA from 1 species